GAAAUAUAAAAAACCCGACUGUUUUCCGGGUUUUUGUCAGGUAGUUGAUCACCUCAGAUGAAGGUGAAACGUGCCGUUGGGGGCGUCAUGACAUGAGCCACUGAAGCACGAGUAGGGGAAGUAGACCCUUCAUUCACUGGCCUAUACACGGGGGUUAUUUACCUCAAAAGCCCCGGAGCUGGGCUGGACUGCUCCGGGGCUUUUUC
rfam:Yersinia pestis CO92 complete genome